UUCUACAAUUUAUGAUUGUCGUCCAGAAUUGUCCAUAAUUUAAUUGUUCAACUUUCUAUUGCGAUCUCAGGUUUACCAAGAAGGGAAGUACCAGGAACCAGACUCUGUGGCUGCAGAGGGUUCAGACGUACGUCACAGAGUGGGAGACUGCGACGACACGGGUUUGGCCAUUGGAGGCCUUUGAUCUCGAUCUAUUCAACGGCUAUUUGCAGAGGUACAUGACAGCUAGCCGAUUGAGCAUCAUUCAACACUCUCACCCCCAGGAGAUAGCCGAGCCGAGUUUGCAAGAUAUGUACACUAGCAAGUCUACUUGAGGCUCUAGACAGCACGCGGCUCAGUUGACACAGAAUUUACAUGCCGAGUUCGCUGCGUAUGGACGCUCGCUUUCGACCGGUCCACUUCUACUACCACGGGAGCCGCACCAGUCCUGGCUAAGACGAAUGGAGGAGAAGCUACGCUCUGUUUACGCGGCUAUCACAUGCACCCGCACUUCGGACGUCGUUCCCCACCAGGCAUCCGUACGGCCCCCGCGCCCCUCCACGCACCAGGAGCGGCCACGUCAGCAGGAAGCACCGCACCUCCGACACCACCCGCGUCCAUGUCUGCCAGAGCAGUUGACGCCCAGGCCACCACCUCCGAGCAGGCCGGAGGUUCGUCGUGGCACCAGCCGUAGUCUUCUUUCGACUAUUGGCACCAGCAGCAGCCCUCUUUUCAGGCUGGAGGUUCGGCAUGGGAGCAGCAGCCCCCCUCUUUUCAGGCUGGAGGUUCGGCGUGGGAGCAGCAGCCCCCCUCUUUUCAGGCUGGAGGUUCGGCGUGGCAGCACCAGCAGAGUCCCACGAUGAACUUUGAGUUUUGUCCACAGACCCAGCCACAGGGAGCCUACGGGCAUCAGUCGUCAUUGUCCGAACCCUUGUGGGGUAGUGAGCAGGAUCACGCUCAAGAAGAGGACUAUUCUGUCCAACACGGCUGGAUGUUCAAUACUCCACCACCAGACCCCACACAGGAGGAUACACAGUAUCGCGAGGAUGGGUCCGUGAUUCCUCCGCGCAACGUUGUGCCACCUCAUAGGUAUGGCUGGACCACGCCACAGGCACCCCCGGAACGCCGUCCCAG